UUUUAUGGAGAGUUUGAUCCUGGCUCAGGAUGAACGCUGGCGGCGUGCCUAAUACAUGCAAGUCGAGCGAACGGACGAGAAGCUUGCUUCUCUGAUGUUAGCGGCGGACGGGUGAGUAACACGU
rnacentral:rRNA from 1 species